GAUAAACGCUGGCGGGCGCACCAUAAGACAUGCAAGUCGAACGGAAGUCGUUAUAAAAUGGAUUGAAGAUUUAUCAGAUUGAAAUUUUGUAACAAUGGCUUUAGUGGCGGACUGGUGAGUAACACGUAAGCAACCUGCCUAUUAGAGGGGAAUAACAAUGAGAAAUCAUUGCUAAUACCGCAUAAGCUUGUAGUAUCGCAUGAUAUAGCAAGAAAAGGAGCAAUCCGCUAAUAGAUGGGCUUGCGGCUGAUUAGCUAGUUGGUAAGGUAAUGGCUUACCAAGGCAACGAUCAGUAGCCGGGCUGAGAGGCUCUGCGGCCACAUUGGGACUGAGAUACGGCCCAGACUCCUACGGGAGGCAGCAGUCGGGAAUAUUGCGCAAUGGAGGAAACUCUGACGCAGUGACGCCGCGUAUAGGAAGAAGGUUUUAGGAUUGUAAACUAUUUUAGACAGGGAAGAAAAAUGACAGUACCUGUAGAUAAGCUCCGG
rnacentral:rRNA from 1 species